UGCUUGUCCAUAAAAAGCAAUGUUUCAUCUGUUCAAGUUUUAUCAUAUUACAACAGAACUAAUUCUAGUUCUAUUGCUGUCUCUACCAUAUCUGCAGUUACUUCCUCCUCUUAAGUCCCAAACUCUUCAAAGUCAUCCAUGAGGGUUGGAAUCAACUUCUUCCAAACUGUUAAUGGUGACAUUCUGACCUCCUCCCAUGAAUCCUGAAUGGUCUUAACAGCAUCUAAAAUGGUGAGUCCUUUCCAGAAGCUUUUCCUUUUUUUUUCUCCUAAAUCCAUCAGAGGAAUCACUAUCUAUGGCAGCUAGGGCCUUAAGACACGUAUUUUUAAAAUAAUAAGACUUCAAGGUUGAAAGUAUUCCUUGAUCCAUGGGCUGCAGAAUGGAUGUUGUGCUAGCAGGCACAAAAACAACAUAAAUCUCCUUGUACAUCUCCCUCAGAACUCUUGCUUGACCAGAUGCAUUGUCAAUGAGCAGUAAUAUUUUGAAAGAAAACUUUUCUGAGCAGGUCUCGAGAGUUAUAAUAUUCAGUAAACCAUGCUGUAAACAGAUGUGCUGUCAUCCAGGCUUUUUGUUCCACUUUUAGAAAACAAGCAGGAUAGACUUAGCAUAAUCCUUAAGGGCCCUAGGAUUUUCAGAAUGGUAAAUUCUUUAGGUUGGCUUCAACUUAAAGGCACCUGCUGCAUUGGCACCCAAAAUGAGGGGAUAGCCUCUCUUUCGAAGCCUCGAAGCUGGGCAUUGACUUCUCUCUAGCUAUUAAAUUACUAGAUGGCAUCGUCUUCCAAUAGACAGCUACUUCAUCUGCAUCAAGAAUCUGUUGUUUAGUAUAAUCACCUUCAUCAAUUAUCUUAGUUAGAUAUUCUUGAUAACUUGCUGCAGCUGCUACAUCAGCACCUUGCACUUUCAUGUUGCAGAAUGGCUUUUUUCCUCUUAAACCUUAUGAACCAAACUUUGCUAGCUUCAAAUUUUAUUCUGCAGCUUCCUCACCUCUCAGCUUUCGGAGAAUUGAAUAGAGUUAGGAACUUGCUCUGGAUUAGGUUUUAGCUUAAGGGAAUGUUAUGGCUGGUUUGAUCUUC
rnacentral:lncRNA from 10 species